UCUCUAUCAGUGCUGAGACUUCGUCACACCCCAGACCACAAGGGCUGAUGAGACUUCCAAGAUAAGUGAAGCG
rnacentral:pre_miRNA from 1 species